rnacentral:rRNA from 1 species
UGGGGAAUCUUAGACAAUGGGCGCAAGCCUGAUCUAGCCAUGCCGCGUGAGUGAUGAAGGCCUUAGGGUCGUAAAGCUCUUUCGCCAGGGAUGAUAAUGACAGUACCUGGUAAAGAAACCCCGGCUAACUCCGUGCCAGCAGCCGCGGUAAUACGGAGGGGGUUAGCGUUGUUCGGAAUUACUGGGCGUAAAGCGYACGUAGGCGGAUUAUWAAGUGAGAGGUGAAAUCCCRGGGCUCAACCCUGGAACUGCCUUYWAWACUCGUAGUCUWGAGUUCGAGAGAGGUGAGUGGAAUUCCGAGUGUAGAGGUGAAAUUCGUAGAUAUUCGGAGGAACACCAGUGGCGAAGGCGGCUCACUGGCUCGAUACUGACGCUGAGGUGCGAAAGUGUGGGGAGCAAACAGGAUUAGAUACCCUGGUAGUCCACGCGCGUAAAAGAGAAUGCCAAACGUAGGGAAGCAUACUUUCGGGGCACACA